UAGUGUGAAUUGCAAAAUUCAGUGAAUCAUUCGAAUCUUCGAACGCACAUUGCGCCCCUUGGUAUCCCGAGGGGCAUGCCUGUUCGAGCGUCAUU
rnacentral:rRNA from 1 species